GACAGUCUGGUGUAGUGGCUUGAGCAUUGGGCUACAACUCGAGAACAGGGUUCGAAUCCCAGCUCUGCCA